rnacentral:rRNA from 1 species
CCUACGGGGGGCUGCAGUGGGGAAUAUUGGACAAUGGGCGAAAGCCUGAUCCAGCCAUGCCGCGUGUGUGAAGAAGGCCUUCGGGUUGUAAAGCACUUUCAGUGGGGAAGAAAGCCUUGGGGCUAAUACCCUCGAGGAAGGACAUCACCCACAGAAGAAGCACCGGCUAACUCCGUGCCAGCAGCCGCGGUAAUACGGAGGGUGCGAGCGUUAAUCGGAAUUACUGGGCGUAAAGCGCGCGUAGGCGGUCUGAUAAGCCGGUUGUGAAAGCCCCGGGCUCAACCUGGGAACGGCAUCCGGAACUGUCAGGCUAGAGUGUAGGAGAGGAAGGUAGAAUUCCCGGUGUAGCGGUGAAAUGCGUAGAGAUCGGGAGGAAUACCAGUGGCGAAGGCGGCCUUCUGGACUGACACUGACGCUGAGGUGCGAAAGCGUGGGUAGCAAACAGGAUUAGAUACCCGAGUAGUC